GUCGGAGUGGCGAAAUGGCAGACGCGCCAGCUUGAGGGGCUGGUACAGGCAACUGUGUGGGGGUUCAAGUCCCCCCUCCGACA
rnacentral:tRNA from 1 species